rnacentral:rRNA from 1 species
AUUGAACGCUGGCGGCAGGCCUAACACAUGCAAGUCGAACGGCAGCGGGGGGUGGCGAGUGGCGAACGGGUGAGUAAAGUAUCGGAACGUGCCCAGUCGUGGGGGAUAACGUAGCGAAAGUUACGCUAAUACCGCAUACGAUCUAUGGAUGAAAGCGGGGGAUCGCAAGACCUCGCGCGAUUGGAGCGGCCGAUAUCAGAUUAGGUAGUUGGUGGGGUAAAGGCUCACCAAGCCGACGAUCUGUAGCUGGUCUGAGAGGACGACCAGCCACACUGGGACUGAGACACGGCCCAGACUCCUACGGGAGGCAGCAGUGGGGAAUUUUGGACAAUGGGCGAAAGCCUGAUCCAGCCAUGCCGCGUGCAGGAUGAAGGCCUUCGGGUUGUAAACUGCUUUUGUACGGAACGAAAAGGUUUGGCCUAAUAAGCUGAGCUCAUGACGGUACCGUAAGAAUAAGCACCGACUAACUACGUGCCAGCCGCCGCAGUAA